rnacentral:misc_RNA from 1 species
UUUCCGUAGGUGAACCUGCGGAAGGAUCAUUAAUAAUUUGGGGUCUCUCUGACUUUACUAAAUACCUAUCUGCCUUUUGUUCAAUGGCCGGGUCGAUGUUUCUGUCGUCACGGUCAGCCCCAGGCAUCAACCACAUCUCAACUGUCUGUCUUAAAAGUAUUAUGAAUAAAACAAUUCAAAACACAACUUUCAACAACGGAUCUCUUGGCUCUC